CACUGAUGAAUCUUUUGUAGACGAAACGUGCGUCUGACGCAUUUACAAAAUGUCAAUACUGGCAUCUGUGAAGAGUUUAUUUGAUAUUUACCAGGUCCACUUAAAGCUAUUUUUUUCUCAGCUGCAUCUAAAAUCCAUAGACAUUUAAAAAUUACUAUGUUUGUAACUGUAAAACCUAUUUGUCGUCUCUUCCCUGUCCAGAAAAAAUCUAUACAAUUAUUUAUAUAUACUUUUAUCAUUCUUCUAGUAUCUUUUAGAAUAAUGUAAAUAUGUCCAUUUUAGAAUUGAAUGUUUCUUUUUCUUAUUUAAUUUACUUGGGUUUCAAAAGCUUCGACUGAAACAGCAGCACUUCGUUCAACACAUGUGCACACGAGCAACGCUUUUACUAUCUUAUUAAACAACAAAAAGAAAACCCUUUUCAAUUUUUUAAAAUCACAUAUCAAUUUUACACCAUGAAAUAAAGAGGUGUCUCAAGCUUUUGGUUUGUUUUCCUAUGCGUUGUAGUGUGUCAUGUGAAGCACGUG
rnacentral:lncRNA from 1 species